GAUGAACGCUAGCGGCAGGCUUAAUACAUGCAAGUCGAGGGGCAACAGGGGUAGCAAUACCUGCUGGCGACCGGCAAACGGGUGCGGAACACGUACAGAACCUUCCUUUAAGCGGGGGAUAGCCCAUAGAAAUGUGGAUUAAUACCCCAUAGUAAUGUUGAGUGGCAUCACUUGACAUUUAAAGAUUUAUCACUUAAAGAUGGCUGUGCGGCUGAUUAGGUAGUUGGUUGGGGUAACGGCCCACCAAGCCAGCGAUCAGUAACUGGUGUGAGAGCACGACCAGUCACACGGGCACUGAGACACGGGCCCGACUCCUACGGGAGGCAGCAGUAAGGAAUAUUGGUCAAUGGACGCAAGUCUGAACCAGCCAUGCCGCGUGAAGGAUGAAGGCCCUCUGGGUUGUAAACUUCUUUUAUCUGGGAAGAAAUGCCUGCUUUAUAGCGGGUUUGACGGUACCAGAGGAAUAAGCACCGGCUAACUCCGUGCCCAG
rnacentral:rRNA from 1 species